GCAGUCGGGCGGUUCGUCGCGGGCCGGAGUGACACUUCACUUCGGCGUGAGGAAAGUCCGGGCAACACAGAGCACCAUACUUCCUAACGGGAAGCCGCGGGUAACCGCAGAGACAACGUGACAGAAAAUAACCGCCCCCAUUGAAAGGCGGGGGAGCUACCCCGAAAGGGGAAGCGUCAUCACCCCCCGGGGCAAGGGUGAAAAGGUGGGGCAAGAGCCCACCGGAUGCCAUCGUGAGAUGGUGUGCCGCACGUCUUAUGGGUUGCAAGGUCAAGUAUACCGGCAUCUAAGGGCUGCUCGUCCGCUGCCGGGGGGUAGACUGCUUUAGCCGCGCUGGCAACACACGGCAUAGAUAAAUGACGAACCGGCAUCGGCCGAUCGCCCCCUGCGGGGGGAAGCAGAAGCGAUGCCGACAGAACCCGGCUUAUAGCCCGGCUGCUUUU
rnacentral:RNase_P_RNA from 1 species